rnacentral:rRNA from 1 species
UGUUUAUAAAGUAGUUUAAAAUAAGUUGGUUUGUAUAUGGAUGUUAGUAAUAGUUGGUGCAUUUAAUAAGGUUUUGUUUACUUACUGUUGUUGCCUUUUGUAUAAUGAUUUGAGGAGUUUGUAACUUAGAUAAGGCAUUCUCGAAGUAACAAGGUAAGACAGUGGUUUUAAAUUAAUGUUAAAAUAUUGAUUUUUUAGCUGUGAGUUUGAUAUAAGAAUCGGUUGUUGGGAUAAAUAGUAGAUGCAAUCUCUAUGUGUGAGUGUUUCUGAUAAGGGUCAGCUUUAUCAGAACUUUUAAUUUUUAAACACUCUAUUUUAAAAUAAUUUUAUUGUGUUGUUGCUUUUUGUGUUUUAUAAUGUGUCUUUAUAUUAUCUUAAAAUUAGUACUUGGUUUUAAAUAUUUUAAAAAUGGUAAAAUAUUGUUAUGUGUACAUAGGUGUAAAGAAAGAAAGGAAUUUGGCAAUUUAGUUGUGUAAAAGUUUACCAAAAGCUGAGUUGGUUGAUAACUAAUAAUCAAUGUUGUCUGCUCAAUGUUUUUAAUAAAUGGCAGCUUAAGGUUUUAAUGUAGCGUAGUAAUUUGUCUAUUAAUUGUAGUCUAGUGAAUGGCUUAGGACAGCAUCUUUCUAUCUUUUUUGAAAGGAAAUUCUUUUUGGGUGAAAAUACUCAAUAAGUAAUAAAAGAAAAAAAGACCCUAGGUAGUUUUAGUGAUAUCAUCGUAUAAAUAUGUGAGAAGCUUUGGUUGGGGAAACGUCAGAUUAAUUUAAUAACAAUUUCUGUUUUGGUAGCCUGGGAGAGGUGUGUUAUAAUAAUUCUGUUUUAGAAAAACUAACCCUAGGGGUAACAGCGCUAUUAAUUAGGAGAGUUCAUAUCGAUUAAUUAGUUUACGACCUCGAUGUCGACUUAAAUUUCACUUAGAUGCAGCAGUCUAGGUAUGUGUGUUUGUUCACCACUUAAUAAUUUACGUGAGUUGGGUUAAAAACGGGGUAACUUAGUUUGGAUUUUUUCUUUAAGUGUUUGGAUUUAUUAGUACGAGAGGAAAACAAAAUAAUAUAUGAAGGUUAAAUAUAUGUUU